UAUAUAGCUCAGUAAGUAAUCAUACAUAAUCUUACUGGAUCGAACAUAAUGGUAACCAUAUUUAUGCAGGGUUUGAGAAGCUGACAUGCAUAUUAUCUCACAAUUUAUCAUGACAAAAUAUUUAUGCUGGGAAAACAAAGCAGUAUUUUCAGUCAAACAGAAUUUUCAUAAAAUAUGCAUAUGAAAUCGUGCCCCCGGCAUGCCAUAGUCCAUUCUCUCGGAUGCUACUGCGAAGUCAGUCUCGGCCACUGGCAGGGCUAGCUCAGUUAUUAUUCAGCCACUGGCGGGGCAGGCUCAGUCAUUCUCGGCCACGAGCAAGGUCAGCUCAGUUGC
rnacentral:lncRNA from 1 species